AGUGAACGCUGGCGGUAGGCCUAACACAUGCAAGUCGAACGGCAGCACAGUAAGAGCUUGCUCUUACGGGUGGCGAGUGGCGGACGGGUGAGGAAUACAUCGGAAUCUACUUUUUCGUGGGGGAUAACGUAGGGAAACUUACGCUAAUACCGCAUACGACCUACGGGUGAAAGCAGGGGAUCUUCGGACCUUGCGCGAUUGAAUGAGCCGAUGUCGGAUUAGCUAGUUGGCGGGGUAAAGGCCCACCAAGGCGACGAUCCGUAGCUGGUCUGAGAGGAUGAUCAGCCACACUGGAGCUGAGACACGGUCCAGACUCCUACGGGAGGCAGCAGUGGGGAAUAUUGGACAAUGGGCGCAAGCCUGGUCCAGCCAUACCGCGUGGGUGAAGAAGGCCUUCGGGUUGUAAAGCCCUUUUGUUGGGAAAGAAAAGCAGCAGGUUAAUACCCCGCUGUUCUGACGGUACCCAAAGAAUAAGCACCGGCUAACUUCGUG
rnacentral:rRNA from 1 species